rnacentral:lncRNA from 1 species
UAAUUGCUUGCAAAGGAAAAGUACAAUGGCCCCAUGCAUGCUUUGAGGAAAAAAAUCAUCUUCACAGCUUAAAGCUUUUUGUACAGCACAUCAGGCUAUCAUGAUAGCCCAUGUUACUCGGUUAAGUGGUCUCACAUCAGCUCGAAUGAGGAAUCUCGCUUUGUCUUGGGUGAUGAAGAUAGAAUUGCGUGACAAGCAAACAUGAAAUAAUGAAUUGCCUUGAAUAUU